UACGGAGGGGGCUAGCGUUGUUCGGAAUUACUGGGCGUAAAGCGCGCGUAGGCGGCUUUGUAAGUUAGAGGUGAAAGCCCGGAGCUCAACUCCGGAACUGCCUUUAAGACUGCAUCGCUAGAAUCAUGGAGAGGUGAGUGGAAUUCCGAGUGUAGAGGUGAAAUUCGUAGAUAUUCGCAAGAACACCAGUGGCGAAGGCGGCUCACUGGUCCGGUACUGACGCUGAGGUGCGAAAGCGUGGGGAGCAAACAGG
rnacentral:rRNA from 1 species